CCCUGGCACACAGUGUAUUGGUCUGUGUGUGUGUGUGUCUACAGCUACAUUGUCUGCUGGGUUU
rnacentral:pre_miRNA from 2 species